CCUACGGGCGGCAGCAGUGGGGAAUAUUGGACAAUGGGGGGAACCCUGAUCCAGCCAUGCCGCGUAUGUGAAGAAGGCCCUCGGGUUGUAAAGCACUUUCAGUGAGGAAGAACGCCUGGUGGUUAAUACCCAUCAGGAAAGACAUCACUCACAGAAGAAGCACCGGCUAACUCCGUGCCAGCAGCCGCGGUAAUACGGAGGGUGCGAGCGUUAAUCGGAAUUACUGGGCGUAAAGCGCGCGUAGGUGGCUUGAUAAGCCGGUUGUGAAAGCCCCGGGCUCAACCUGGGAACGGCAUCCGGAACUGUCAAGCUAGAGUGCAGGAGAGGAAGGUAGAAUUCCCGGUGUAGCGGUGAAAUGCGUAGAGAUCGGGAGGAAUACCAGUGGCGAAGGCGGCCUUCUGGACUGACACUGACACUGAGGUGCGAAAGCGUGGGUAGCAAACAGGAUUAGAUACCCGGGUAGUC
rnacentral:rRNA from 1 species